GAUGAACGCUAGCGACAGGCCUAACACAUGCAAGUCGAACGAAGGUUUCUGCUUCGGCGGGAGCCUUAGUGGCGGACGGGUGAGUAACGCGUGGGUAACCUGCCCUAUACAGGGGAACAACAGCUGGAAACGGCUGCUAAUACCGCAUAAGCGCACAGGACCGCAUGGUCUGGUGUGAAAAACUCCGGUGGUAUGAGAUGGACCCGCGUCUGAUUAGCUAGUUGGUGGGGUAACGGCCCACCAAGGCGACGAUCAGUAGCCGACCUGAGAGGGUGACCGGCACAUUGGACUGAGACACGGCCCAAACUCCUACGGGAGGCAGCAGUGGGGAAUAUU
rnacentral:rRNA from 1 species